rnacentral:rRNA from 1 species
GAUCCUGGCUCAGGAUGAACGCUGGCGGCGUGCCUAACACAUGCAAGUCGAACGAGGUAUAUUGGAAGAAGUUUUCGGACGGAUUCUGGUAUACCGAGUGGCGGACGGGUGAGUAACGCGUGGGUAACCUGCCCCAUACAGGGGGACAACAGAUGGAAACGUCUGCUAAUACCGCAUAAGCGCACGGUAUGGCAUCAUACAGUGUGAAAAGUUCCGGCGGUAUGGGAUGGGCCCGCGUUGGAUUAGGCAGUUGGCGGGGUAAGAGCCCACCAAACCGACGAUCCAUAGCCGACCUGAGAGGGUGACCGGCCACAUUGGGACUGAGACACGGCCCAGACUCCUACGGGAGGCAGCAGUGGGGAAUAUUGCACAAUGGGCGAAAGCCUGAUGCAGCGACGCCGCGUGAGUGAAGAAGUAUUUCGGUAUGUAAAGCUCUAUCAGCAGGGAAGAAGAUGACGGUACCUGCACAAGAAGCUCCGGCUAAAUACGUGCC